AUUGAACGCUCGCGGCAGGCUUAACACAUGCAAGUCGAACGAGUGGCGGACGGGUGAGUAAUGCUUGGGAAUCUAGCUUCUGGAGGGGGAUAACUACGGGAAACUGUAGCUAAUACCGCGUACCAUAGGAUGAGCCCAAGUGGGAUUAGGUAGUUGGUGGGGUAAAGGCUCACAAGGCCGACGAUCUCUAGCUGGUAUGAGAGGAUGACCAGCAACACUGGGACUGAGACACGGCCCAGACUCCUACGGUAGGCAGCAGUGGGGAAUAUUGCGCAAUGGGGGCAACCUGACGCAGCCAUGCCGCGGGAAUGAAGAAGGCCUUAGGGUUGUAAAGUUCUUUCGGUAGCGAGGCGUUAACUACAGAAGAAGCACCGGCUAACUCCGUGCCAGCAGCCGCGGUAAUAC
rnacentral:rRNA from 1 species